rnacentral:lncRNA from 10 species
AGACCGAAAAUGGUAUCCUUCUAAUCUUCUAACUAGUUGUCUAACCUUAAGCUCCCAGAGAUUCUUCUUGCCUAAAGUCCCAUGGUACUUAACAUCUUUAUUAGUCUAUGCUAUGAUUUUUUUAAGUUUUUAGCAAUGAGACCUAACUGUGAAACAAUUUUCAUGGAACUCUAAUGUAUUACACAGAUGGGAAUGUUGUUGACUACAGAAGUGUGAAGCUUGAAUCCCACCAUCUGUGACCUUUCUCAUCAGCCCUGCUUAUUUCAGAAACGGAGCCAGGGCUACACCUAAUUUUCUUCAGAAUAUUCAGCAGAUCUUUUCCAGCUGACCAAACGUGGUGUAUUAGCCCUUGGCACAUCCUGACCUGAAACUGUUCACAGAUGAAAGCAGCUUCAAGGACCAUGGAAGUCAUCAUGCAGGGUAUGUGUGGUCGGUACCUUACAAGGCACUGUGAAAGCCAAAGCCUUAUUGCCAGACACCUCAGUACCUCAGCUCAACAGCGUGAGCUCAUUGCCUUACUCUUGUCAUCCAAUUGGAUAAGAACAAAAUUGGGAAUAUUUAUAUAGACUCUAAAUAUGCUUUCUCUGUGGCACAUGCCCAUGGGGCUAUUUAGAAUGAGAGAGGGCCUUUGACUAGUGAUAACAAGGAAAUCAAAUAUGUCUCUGAUAUUUUGGCCUUAUAAGAAUCUGUAAAUGCCCCCAGAGUGGUGGCUAUCAUCCACUAUCCUAGCCAUCAAAAAGGGGAAAUCAACAUGCCAACCUGGCAGCGAAACAGGCUGCAAAAACAUUGGACUUUGAGGCCUUCUUAGCCCUGUUUGUAUCGCAGGUUGAUCUUACUAAGUAAGUCUCAACCUUGCUAUACUGAAGAAGACUUAAAGUGGCCCAAGGAUUGGGGAUUUACGUCCCCAGCCCCAGGCCAUCCAGGCUAGAUAUGUAAUUUGGGAGGCAUUAUAUUGGUUCCUGGAGCCCUCCUUAAAGAUACAGUGAGUUGGCUGGCGCAGUGGCUCAUGCCUGUAAUCCCAGCACUUUGGGAGGCCGACACAGGUGGAUCACUUAAGGCC